rnacentral:lncRNA from 1 species
CACACCCUUUCCAUUCCUCACUUCCUAUCUCACUCACCGCCGCGGAGUCGCCUCAUCCCGUCACCGCCGUGAGAGCAAUUGAUUUGUGAGUCCAAAUUUCAAUACUAAUUACUAAUUUGGAAGCUAUCUCUUCUCAAUUACUUUUCACACUAACUCAAUUCCAUGCCUUUUCCCCUUUUUAAUCACGGAUUCUUCAUACUCAUUUACUUUUACAACGUUUCAUUAUACUCUUAAAUUCUCAUAUAACAAACAUGCUCUAAUAUAUAUGCUCGAAUUUCGUCGCGUUUCUGAACUACUCCAAAAAUGUGUUUAAAGGAUCGCCGCCAUUGCACUGUGAACUUUUAUGCGAUUAAAAAAAUAUAUUUGAAUUCGAUGUGAUUGCAUUACGGUCUGAUAUGGUCACAUCAUUGUGACGCAGUGUCAGACAGUAAUUGCAACUGCUAUGUUGUGGCUGCAUCGCUUGAUGUUGUCCACAAUUUGAAUCACCGCUCCUACUAGCUAAUUCUAUGUCAACAGUUUAGUUUCCUAAUUAUGACACAAGAAACAUCGUGUCCAAAGGCUUUUGGAUUUGAAUCGAUGAUGUAUAGAGUUUAAUAGAGGGUGAGCAUGGUGCAAUAAUAAGGUUGUUGCUUAGUGACCACUCGUGAAGGAAUGGCUACAUACAUGUACCUACCCCAGACCUUACUAAGUGGGAGCCUCGUGCACUGGGCUGCCUUUUUAUGUAUAGAGUUAAACAACCAAGUGAAAUCAUGCAGGUUUACAUACAUUGAAUAGGUUCUGAUUGAUUAGCAAACAUUUGUGUCUCAAAUGACAAUCCUGUCUGCAUUGCCAGCAAAAUAUUCAGGUUUCAUUUAUCAAGAUACACCUUAUCUACCAUCGAAGUUUCCAGCGAGAGUUGAUUAUCGCAGAUAUGUUUCUCUAUCUCCGACUACGACUUGUCGAAUGAAGAUAAAACGAGAGUACGCUGACCGCAUUCCCGUCAAAAUUUUCACUUCCGCCGCAAGAAAUGGUCAAUAUCUAAGCUCUGAUGAUGGUUUACCUCAAGAGCCCUUUUUGCUAGCAUUGAUCAAGGAGGCCAUAUGGGGGAUACGAUCCUUAUUUGUAUUUUUGGCUGCACAACCUAGCCAGCUGAAGUACAUUGAGUGGCCAACCUUUAGUAAUACGCUUAGGACUGCGAUUCUGACUCUUGUUCUUGUUGCACUGCUUAUCGUGGCAUUGGCAUCCGUCGAUUCAGUUCUCUGCUAUGUUUUGGCUCUACUUCUUCGGAAAAGCCCGUGAGCGAUACCACGUGUUACUUGUACUAUGUAACCAGUAUGUUGCCUGUUAUUAUUGUGACAAUUUAGAGAGUCAUUUAUAUUUUUCAUGUUGCCUAUAUAAAUUAUUAUCAACAUAAUGUAUUUUUUUUGGUACAAGGAGGGGUUGAAGCACAAACAACAAAUGGAGAAAGAUUACCAAUUUCCAAAUUUAUUUAGAAGUUAUUCUGAUACUUUGCAUAAUGUAAGUAGCCCUAAUACAUAUAAUUACAGAUGGAAACUAAAAACUGUGAAUGGCUGUUGAUGCUCAUCCAAUGAAUCAUUGGACUCAGUAUGGGUCCAAGCAUGCAUGUUUAAGAUUUCGAGUCAAAUCAUUAGCUGCAUGUUCUUAGAAAUUGUUCUUUUUAACCUAGCAGUGGGUCGAAGCAUGCAUGUUUAACAUUUCGAGUUGUGGUAAACGGGUCACGGUUCACAUUGGUUUAGCAGGGUUUGUACUGGUUCCCGACAGUUUUGAAGCAGAAAUGGUUUGAUCGACCAACCAGGUCAGUCAAGGGUUUGUUUCACCGAUUUGUUGGUUGAACCAUUCAGUAGUCCAAUUUUAAUAACUAUGAUUUACUUGUGAAUCACUUUGGUGAUGUAGAUGGGGCCAUAUUGUAAAACACUAACACUCUUAAGGCAAAUUAAUUCCUAUUUCUUAAUCAGCACUUGAAGAAGUUGCUUAUAGAAUAUCAAGUUUGGUGAGUAUAGAAACUUUCCCUCUCUCUCUCUUUUGAAUCUUGAAUCUUGUUUAUGAAUCAAUUGAAAAGUGAUACAGUGGUGCUGUGAUAUCAUCCUAUUAUUAAAACACAAGCAAAAAUGGGAGAAAAUGCUACUCUUUUCACAAGGUAUUCUCCAAGACAGUAAAUACAUUUAUGUUGGAACAAUAUUUUGUAGUCUUACAGCUUUACAUAAAUAAAAACACACAAAAAAACCAACUAAUACAUUUGACGCCUACAAAAAAAUUG